rnacentral:lncRNA from 1 species
AUUGACAUGUUUGUUUGAGAUGCCUGUUCUCAUUUAAUGUUGAUAUAUGAUGGUAUGCUUGUGUGCUAGCUUCUUUCCUGGUUAGGUUAGUUUGCUUAUGCAAGUAGGAUAGAAAACCGAACUUAGGGGAACGAUGCAUGACAACAUUAGGCUCGAGUCUCAGCUCCCUAGUUGUGUAUCUUUCCCCGGUUUCUGGUUAGCAAUUUAGUCCCU